CACGUAAAAAUGUCAAGGAUGAACAAAAAUUCAAUUUGAGUAAAUAUAGUACAAAAUAUAAUAUAUGUCUAAUAUACGAAAUAUAAAAUUUACAAAAAAUAUCAAUUAGAGGAUUAUUUGAUAAUAUUUAAUAUUAUUUCAUUUUAUAUUAAUUUUUGUGCCACUUUUAAUCGAUUAGAUCGUUGAGUUUCUAAAUAUAUAUACCGAUUGAAGGUUAAGAUAGCAACUUAUUACAUCACAUUGCACAAUAUUAACCGGUUGGCAUUGAACAUUCUGUAGACGGUACACUACGGUUGCAACCGUCCGUAGGUGAAUUUAGGUCAUGUUCCAGGUGCGAGCCAGGUGGUAGUUGAACGGACUUUCAACAAAGCAUACUGACAAUAGACCUGGGGCAAAUCAGGAUCUUUUCAAUAAGAUACACGUUCAAUCGUAUAACUUGCACAAAAGAAAUGAGCAACCAAAAAAGAAGAUAAUAAAUAUCGUUGGACAAGAAAAAAGAAAUGUUAAGAAUUCCUAUAGUAAUAUCAACGGACUUUUUUAUCAAUAAAAUUUUGAGUCAUCAUUGCCUUUCUGUAAUGUAAAUUAUCUGCAUUCCAUAUUACUUACAAAUUUACCAAAAUCCACGAUGAUUCAAAAUAAACAGCGAAAAGAAUACAAUAUUCUAAAAAUUUCAUUUUUAUUUUUGUAAUGUUUAACAGCUAAGCACAGUAUCUAUAUAAAUGAAUUUUCUUGUUAAUAUCAAGAGCCUCGUUGAUAAAACAAGAUCAAUAAUAAUGCUAUCUGCUCGAUAUUUGAAACGUUUUUCAGACAAGAGACAAGAGAUAUCCACAACAUAACAUACGCAAGUCUUUCUAACUAAUACAAUCUAAGUAAUAAAAUUCUAAGUAAUACGAUCCUGCAUAUCAUUGUUAGGAUUAUAUCGAAAUAUAAAUUUUGAUUGAUAUAAAUAUCUUUUUUUAAUCGGAUAACUAACUUCACAAUGGAUACUCUUCCACGAAACCAUGUUAUUAUAGGAAAGUUCUCUAAAAUUAACGUUUUAGGAAUUGUAAAAAUAUAAUGCGAUUAAUAAAACGGAAUUAUUAAUUUUUUCUAUUUUACAGAUAAUAUCAAAUCUUUCGUAGAAUUUUACUACCGAUCAAAAAUAUAAUAAUAAUCGCUACUGUAAGAUGUAAACUGUAAGCGAUCAUGGAUAUUAAGCAAUCAAUGAUAAGAUAUUGGAGUACAAUCAUUCGAUUAAAAUAGAAAAUAGACCGAUAAACGUUUCAGUGAAAUUGCGAUUGCUCGAAGUUUCGUUUAGAUUAGAUGUGCACAAAUAUUGAUUAUGGCAUCGAGAUCAGAUAAAUAACUUUCUAAAAUAUCGAAUUGAGAAAAAAAAACAAUCUCGAGAGCUACUUCGGCAACGUCUAAUCACAAAAUCGGUUAGAAGUCACUUGAGAUCACGCAAAAUCAAGCAGAAUUAAAAAUUCACGAUAUUGAAUUUGUUAUUAAAAUAGACGAAAUUAAUAGACGAAAAAUUGUUGUCAUGUUUAUGAAUAAUCCAAAAUAGGUUUUCUAGAUUUUAUUGAUUCUAAACCAUACAUCAUUGUGCUCGCUAUCAGAACAAUUCAUUUUCAUAGAUCAAAUUAAAGAAAGAGAUUCUAAUGUAGCGUAACUUUUUUUUUUAGAACUAGGUGAGAUUCUAGUUUUAGAAGUUAAAUUAUAUUUCACGAGAACAAACAGAUCAAUGGUUGUACUUCGCUUGAGUAAAGCCAAUUGCGUAUCAAUACGUAAUACGCCGUUUAUAUCCUUGACACUUUAUAUUGUAGUAUAUUUCCUUUGUGUCUCGCGUAUGUUUGAAACUAUUGUGAUCGAUGCUGAGAGCCGGACAUGUGCGAAUGUCUGUCACGCAAUUUUUAAUCCGCGACGUGAAUUUAUCAUUUGAAAUCUGCUUAUAAUUCUUCGGCUAUAGCUUCCUCGAGUUAGAGGACUGUACACUUCGAUCUACUUGGCAUAGUUAUUUUCAUGUUAUUAUUAUUAUUCUUAUUAUACAAGUCUCUACGGUAGAUUUUAAAGAAUCGAGAACAAUUUGAGCAUCGAUGUACAGACUCUUGAUGAAUGAUUAAUGCCUGACACGGAGGGGCUCAUGGAAAUUCAAGACUGAAUUGAACUCAAGUGGCGUGAUGUAUUUUGUUGAGGAUAAAUUCCAAUAAAAAAAGCGUAACGGCAUAUUAUUUAAUCUAUGCAUUAUUCAGAAAUUAUAAUACUGUGCUUUUCUCUAUCACUCUCGAUGAUGAAACAUCAAUAUAUUUACAAGUUGUUUACGUAUUUCCUUCGAUUCAAUUCCCAAUUAUUAUCACCCUAUCUUUGACCAGAAAAAAAAAGAUUGUUGAACUCCAAUUAAAAUGUGUUGUUACUUGAUUAUAUAUCCAUAAAAUUAAUUGUAUUUUUGUUUAAUAUUUUUACUUAAAUACAAAUUUUUAUAUGAGUCUAUAAUGACGAAGAUGACUGAAACAUAACGUCAUUCGAGAGAAAAUUAUCAUGAUAAUUGUAACGUCUAAGAUGUCUCCUACUGUAGGAAUUAAGAGUUAAGAACUUUUGAAGUCAUAUCAAGCUGGUUUAAUCGGACACAAUAUUCCCAGACGUGAUAACAUGAAUAAUCAGAGAAUAGAGAACGUGCAAGCUAUAUACUUGAUCGCUCAAACUAGAUGACAUCAUCCUAUUCAACAUAUGCCUCGGCACUGACUUCCUCUGAAACAACACGUCUCUGUCGAUGGAAAUAAGUUUCGAAUUGACUUUGUCUGAACUGUACAAUCUUUUAACUUGCAGUUUGUUUCUCGUAUUCAUUUAUAUCUCCGCCUGAACAAAGAUUCUUUCUGAAUGAAGAGCCAAGGUCUGCUAUUUGGAACUUUCUAAAUGAAAAUCGUGUAAGAAUAGUUUAUAGCUUGAAAUAUUUGAAAAAUAAUUCUGGACAAUUUUAUAGAUAAUUCCAAGUUUUCCAAGAAAUCAACAGAAAUAUAAUCGAUAUUCAAUAACACAGAGUUUACCUUGAGAUCGUAAUCAAUGAUUUAAUGAAAAACUAUGAAGCUAAAUACAGUACCAUGUAAGCUAUUUUUUAAUAAUAAUCUUAUUUUACGUUAUUUACGUUAAUAGCAACGUUGACAAUAAAUCAUAAUAUAUUAUCAAAUAAUUGAAAGAGACAGUUUAGAAAUUCGGAAAGAUCAGUAUUUUAAACAGAAAAUAUUAUUCAUAUAUGUUAAUACAUUUCACAUUUCCGAAUAGGAAAAAAUAUUCUAACGCCAGUAAUAGUUCGUUUUGUGAGUACAUAAAUCAAUUUAGCCGUUAAGCUUAAUGCUUGCAGUUAAAACUACUAUAAGCGUAUUGAUAGUUUCAGAGAACGAUACUUAUUGGCACGUUAUUGCUGUUAAUUGGCGAUAUAAAGUAUCAUUGUUCAAUCAUCUAGCGUUCUUUUAAACAUGCAAUGCUGCAAAGUAUAUGUUAAAACGAAAAAGAAGAAAAAAUAUAUAUUUUCAACUGUGUCACGUAAUGGAAAUCGUUUCAAUUUCAGAAAAAUCAACUAUCUUGCUAGUUUUCUAGAACGCUAAUAAAACCUGUUUUCGGUUUGAAAAACAGCGAAGCCUUGAAAAGUGUUCCGUCGCGACACAAAAGAAACGUUGCCAAACGAGCAACGUCUUUUCUUUCUUUUCUCUGUUUGAAAAAUCUCGCAUGCGUAGCUACGUUUGUCGUACCUGCGCGCAAAAUACCCAAAAUAUACCGAAACGCAGAUGAGUCAACAUUUCCAGGACAAGGUUUCUGACGCAUAUAUAAUCAAGUUCGUGAUAACAAAACUAUAAUGAAACGCGAUACAGUCGUCGAAAUUUAUGAAAGGUUGUGAAAAGCAAACGGAACCGGUUAUUUCACCAUUGAUCCGAUAUUUAUCUCUAUUCUUAGAAAGAGUAAAAUCGUGUACUUCCCUGUUGCAGCGAUACUUAUCUUUGUGAAAUGCUACAAAAGUCGAUCCACUGCGUUCCACGAAUGCGUUAAAAAAUUACGAAAACUAUAUUCAUGUACGGCUUUUAUAUGUUAGCUUGUUACCAUGAUUCCUUUUUACACAAGUCGAUUUCUCAAAUAAAUCUUAAUAUAAACUUAAUUGUUUGUAUAUGUAUAUAGGUUAAUAUAGAUCGUGAUUUUAAGAUAGAAAUUUUGCGUAAGAUUAAUCGCUAAUAUUAAAUACACAAUGUAAAUACGAUAGAGCAGGUUUAUAUGAUAAUGAUAUAUUAUUAAAUAACUACAUAAAAUAAAUAGUGCAACCUAGCUUUGUAGAUCAACUAAUUUAUGGUGAAUAUUUUCUUUUUUAUAUUGCUACUUCGUAUGAAUUAUUGAUCGCGUAGAAAACUGGUAAAACAUUUGGAGUACGUCAUGCGUUAGUAUGUGUAAUGUAUAUCGUUUCACAGAAUACAGAAUGAGAUUUAAGUUUAUCUUCGAUAGUUGCGAUAGCUAACCAACGUGUCAGGCAAUCUUUUUUACUCGUGUUGGAUUAAUUGUCUGUUUAGGGAGAAAGAGUUAUCAGCAAUAUACUAAAUAGAUGAAUUGUAUACAUCGAUUGUUUGGCAAACAAAGGAUCGAGCUCAAGUUAUUUCAGUCAAACAAUCAAUCUGAUUGAUUCUUUUUAUUCGUUUACGUAACGAAUUAAAAUUUAAAAAUAUUACUUAUAAAUACUUAUAAAUAAAUAAUACUUAAAUAUUAUCUCAUUUGUCUAGCUAUUAAGACAACCUCAGAAUUUCAUUCAAUUCUACGUGCCAAUUUUGUAUAGGUUUCUGUGCCAAAAUUUUAUUUACAAUAUAGAAAUCACACAGUGGAUAAUUUAAUCUCCGUUUAUUCGACGCUAGACAUACUUGCAGUAUUGUACUUUUUCAUAAUGGACAAAGACAAAGAAGAAAAUGUACUACCGAUCGCAUGAUUACGUUUCGUAUGUGAUGUAACCAGGAACUACUGAUUUCACAGUACCUCGUGGUACGCUCGAAAAUUACUACGUUACGUAAAACAUCUAAUACAAAAGACCGUGAGUAAAAAAAAGACUAUGUAUCGUUAUAUGCAAAAUGGUUAAAAGAAAAGCAAGAUUUGAUUGAAAUGAUGAAUACGGUUAUGUGGUGGAAGUAUUUUUCUGAUUGAACCAUUCUCUUCCAAAUGUUGAUAUAUAUAUUCGGAAAUUAUACAAGAAAAUCAAGAAAAUGCCUUUAAUUCAUCUAACUUAUUCACUAUACACAACUUCUUUACCAAAACAUACAGACUAUCAAAGAGCUUUACGGCACCUCACUAGGAAGUUGUGCUAUUGCUAAUGUUACUAGUAUUAUUAUCGACGUCAAUUAACACGAUUUCAGACUUCCUGGAAAAUGGCGUCAUGUAUAUAAAUUGCGAGAUAUCUCAGAACAUACCCAUAAUCACGAGCAAAUACCGCAUGACGCUGAAUUUACAUCGUGAUAGCGAUUAAAUUUCACAUUAGCGUACUCUAAAACUCUACCUAUGUAUGAGUUCUUAAUGACACAACGCGCAAUACAAGAAACGAUUCCUUUAAUUAACGUAGAGAUAUCAACGACUAUAGUGAAACAUACACAGAAUAUUUCACUUUGCAACGAUUCCCAUUAUUCAUAAUGUUCUUACAUAAACACAUCUCAUUAUAUAUAUAAUUUGCAUUUUAACUGUGAAUUACUGUAUGAACUCUGAAUUCAUCCAAUAUUAUGAAAUAUUAAUGCAAAAUAUAUGUAACAUAUGUAAAAUACAUGCUCGAGUUACUUGAAUAA